UUUGAUCUUCAUCCUAGGUAUUUAAAGCCCAAAAUCCCUAAAAAUUUGCCCCAUUUCCGCCUUAUUUCCUCUCUCUUCUUUCCCUCUCCUUCUUCUCUCUUCUCUCUCUCUACGCCGCCCCAUCUCCGCUCACCGCCGCCGGCCGGAAAUCGCCGCCGCCGGCGGACCACCUCCAAACACCUCCAAAUUCACACCAUGUAAUCUCCACAACUUUCUCUUUCCAUAUCUCCAAACCAAAUUCUUCAAAAAUCCUCAAACUCCUUGAAUCUUAGAUCUUUGAAACUUUUACGUCAUUUUUUUGUCCAAAUCCUUGAAGCUCCAACCACUACCACCCCACAAUACCUACAUCAAUGGAUAGAGCUCCUCAAGACCUAGCUAUUCAUGCCAAUUUGACCCUGAAAAUCCGGCGAUCAAAAUCCGGCCAAAUUCCAGCGACCUCCCCGAACACCCUCUUUUGGCAUACCACCAUUUUUUCGGCCACUUGAAUUGUAAAAUGGUAAAAAUUCUAUUCUUUUUCAUGGCUGAUUUUUUAUUUUUAUUUUUAAUUUUCAGAUUUUAUUUUGGUCUAUUAUUAAUUAUUUUAGCAUUAGUUUUUGAAGUUUGAAAUGUUCAAUUUUCUGUUUUUGCACUUGUUGAAGUAGUAAAUUAGUUUUGUAUUAAUAAAAGUGAGGUAGUGCAGAAUACUUAAGAGCAUAUGGUACUUGUUUGGUUGUUUAUUUACUGCUUCAAGACUCUUUAAGUACAAUACUCAAAAGUCAAAUUGUUUGGUAAGAAAAUGUAGACUUUUGGUCAGUGUUUGAAUAAAAGUCUGUUUUUAAAUAGUGGAGAAUAGAUUUUGUUUGAAAUACUUGACAAGAUUUGAACCAGAAAGUCUGGCCUUUUGAAUUUAAGAGCAGAUUUUGUAGAAAAUCUAUAAAAAAGAUUGAUUUUUAAUUUUUUGAAAUAGCUGGUUGUUUUGAUAUAUAAGGGAGACUCAAUCACACUUCCAGGGGGAGGGAAUAAUUGCUUUGAACACAAAAAAAACAUAAAAAAAAAUCAGCAGUUGAACACAUGAAAAGUGAGCUGAAAUGGUGAGCUUUGGGAGUGAAUCUUAGAGUGCAAACUUUUAGAAAAGUAUAAGUCCUCUUUAGAGUUCGUUUCUGGGUUUCCUCUCUAAGUUUUCGGGUUGUUUUAACACGAAUUUGCUGCUGGUUUUGCUGCUGUUUUGCUGCUGUUUUUAUGCUGCUUUAGUUGCUGAACUACUGUUUAUUCUUUUGCUAUCUAGGUAAUCCUUUAAGACUCGUAACGUACGUAUUUUCAGCAAUGGGAACAACUUGAACAUACUGCACCAUUUAAAUGUGUUUGAUAAGAUGAAUAAUUUGACAACAAAAGAGCUUGUAUGUUAUUGUUAUGUAUCAAACAUGUGACAAUGUGAAUAUAGUCCUUCAUAAUACUUGAAUAUUGAGUUGCAAGUUUUUUGAAUGUGAUAUCUAAGUAUGCCAUGAAUGACUUUAGAUGUAUAACACAUAACAUGAGUUCGUUUUAGUUGCUAAAAUUUCACUGCCAACAUAUGCUUCUAGGAAUGUUAUGAUAUUUUUUUUUUAAUCUGGCCAUUUUUCCAGAUUUGCAAAAGUGACUAUUUUGC
rnacentral:lncRNA from 1 species